CUCUCUCUCUGUACAUGAAGGGAUCAUGAGAGCUCACAGCAAGAUGGCGGCUGCCUACAAGCCAGGAAAAGAGGCCUUGGGGUGAAACUUACCUUGCAGUACCUUGAUCUUGAACUUCUUACCCUCCAAAACUGGCUUUUGGAGUCCCCUACUCAUACACCUUCUCAUACAUGAGACUACACUGCUUGAAAACCACAAUGGGCUCCAUAAACACUUUUGCAAUAGUGAAGAAGAAGAAAAAAUAAUGCCACACAUGAAUGCUCCUGAGAUGCCUCUGCCUAUUCUGGUGUGAUUGAAUUCUGUCCCCAGCAAAGGGAGGAAUGGGGUGAAUGUUGCUAUGUUUCUCUUUGCCUCCAUGGAAAGAAGUAUUUGGAGUAACCAGCAUCAUGGAGACAACAGCCUUACUCCCCAAGAAACCAGAGUUGGGGGAGAAGAGGGAUCUGCCUUCUCUGUGAAAGGCCCGGAGGCACUGAAAAGGAGCAGUUUCGGAAGAAUGCUGGCCUUGGAAUUAUCUACCCACCUAUCUAUCCAUCUGAUCAUCCAUCCAUCCAUCCAUCCUUUUAUCCAAUCUCCUAUCUGUCCAUCUGUCCAGCUAGCCAACCCUCAUUCACCAAAUAUUUAUUGAGCAUUUGCUAUGCACACUCACUAGGGAUAAAGUGGUAAACAAAAUGGACAUCAGAUCAAUUCAGGCUGGUGUCCUAGCUCAGCCAUUUAACUGUCACCUUGGGAAACUUGCUUGCUGUCUUUGAGCUGCUUUCUUUAUCUGCACAUUAGGGAUUCUAAUCUCUACAGUGAAAAAGGUUACAAUAAAUAUUGUCCAUAUAUGGACAUAACUUAGCACAGUAGCAAGACCACAGUAGGUGCACCACAAACAGUAGUUUUGGCAGUUCUCUAUCUCCCCCAAAGACCCCUGCCUACCACCCUUCUGCUGCAUAGGACAGCAUUUCUGCAUGAUCUUCAUACAAGGCAGCAACAAGGACCUGUGGGACGACGUUUGUCUGGGAGUGGAGAUGAGGCCCAAUGAGAGUCGGUGGCGUGUCUGAGGCUUACCGGUCCUUGAAGAGCAGGAGCUCCUUCCCCAGCAUUGUCACAGCGUCAAAGGAUGAGCUGGAGUCACAGAGGCAUCCAGGAAAAACUGAGCGAGUUCUUGUGAAACUGAAGUACACUGAAGGUGUUUGCUAUUUAAAGGUAUCUUCUGGUGGAUCGUCUUGGAAAACAUGGACCCAAAUCUUGCGAGAGCUAUCAGUGAGUCUCCUCUCCUGCUCUGCAUCUCUCAGGACUGUGUCCCAGCUCCAGAAGAAUGAGCCUGCACAGCUUGGACUGUCACCUCUGGCAGGUUCCUGCUCUUUGAUGAAGCCUCGUCAUAAUUACAGGUGUUUGAAAGUUCCUCCAUUGAUCUUCUCUCUCCUGCUGCCUUGUCAAGAAGGUGCCUGCUUCCCCUUUGCCUUGCACCAUGAUUCUAAGUUUCCUGAGGCCUCCCCAGCCAUGUAAAACUAGCCUUAUCUUCAACAGCUGCUAAAAUUGAAGAACAAAAAGAAUCUUUGAAACUUCCCUUCAACUGGUCAUCCUCUUCCCUUUUUCUCUCCUUUAAACACUGUUCCAAUUCAUUAUGAUGGCCCCAAAGCAAAGACAGACAUGGAAGUGAACAUUGGAGUGGAAGGAAUGACGAGCCCAAGGAUGAAAACAGAGAAGUAAUUAAUGGCAGCUUUCCUGGGCCAGAAGAAUAAAUAAGGAAUUAUCUUACAAACAGGUGCUUCCCAUUCCCCUGACCAGCUACAUAGUCAUGUCAGGCAUCAUGAUUCGAGACCAGCCUGACCUACAUGGUGAAACCCUGUCUCUACUAAAAAUACAAAAGUUAGCAGGGCAUGGUGGCAACGUGCCUGUAAUCCCAGCUACUCAGGAGGUUGAGGCAGGAGAAUUGCUUGAACCCGGGAGGUGGAGGUUGCAGUGAGCUGAGAUCGUGCCACUGGACUCCAGCCUGGGUGACAGAGUAAGACUCGGUCUCAAAAAAAAAAAAAGAAAAGAAAAAUGUUUUUUCUGUCCUUAGAUGAUUCUUGUAAGCAAAUUCUCUUUCCAAGUAGUUUGCCAAAUUGAUUUAAUGAAAGUCCAUAUGCUUCAAACAGAUUCCUAAAGCCUCAGAUGCCAGGUGGGUGUUGGCCUUUUCUGGGAAAGAUGUUUCACAACUGGCUAUAACCUCUCAUUCCAGUGUCCCAAACCCUUGGCCCAGCCAAGGGAGGUGACUGUUUUCUUUAGGAACUGAGUGACUGCUUCUGAGGAAGCUUGAGUAAAUGUGAGGUUGGCUUCUGUUUGAUAAACACGUGGCACUCAAUGGGGACUUUUGGACAGAGGAGACUGCAUGGGUGACAGCUGGUGGCCUUCACCAAAUCCUGAAGUUAAAUUUAGGGAAUCAGACCCAAGAACACUAAAAGGAUUAGGGGCUCUCCACCUGUCUUCCUUGGUCUUGCUCUCUAUGCUCUCAGGUCUUCACUGUUGUAGCCACAGUGGUGUUAGAAGGACGAAAAUGCUAGGGUAGGGAUGGGGCAGGGGUAGUGUGAACUAUAGUGGUUUUCAAAAUGGGCAACAUCAAUAUAACCUGGGAGCUUGUUAGAAAUGCACAUUCUCAGGUCUGCUGAAGACCGACUGAAUCAGGAAAUCUAGGGGUGGGGCCCAAGACCUCCAGGUAAUUUUGAUGCAUGCUAACAUAUGUGAACCAGCAUUUUAGAAAGUUUAUGCUACUUAAAGAAAGUCUGUGAAGCAACACCCCCUGGGAACUUGUUAGAAAUGCAGAAUCUCAGGCCCCACCCUUCUGAGAUUCAGGUUUCAUUGGUCUAGGGUGGAGGAGCCCAGUUAUUGGUCAUUUAAAAAACCUCCCGUGUGAUUCUAACUUUGCAUCCAGAAUAGAGAAUUACUGCUCUAAGGAAGAAAUUGUUAAAUGCAUUUUAUGUUUUCCAGGAGAAAAGAUGGUCCCUUCCACAGAGACAGUAAAAGAUAUGAAUGAUUUUUCUUUGUAGAUUCACUGGAGUUCCACUAGAAUAGUGCAGUUAUCACAUCUUCCUCCAAAGAGGGGUAGGUUUCAGAGUUUCAGCAGUAGAAGAAAUCUGGGAGGAAUCAAGCCAGUGUGCAACAUCAACAUCAGUUAUAUUAGGCUGUUCUUGCAUUGCUAUAAAGAUAUAUGAGACAGGGUACUUUUUAUAAAGAAAAGAGGUUUAAUUGGCUCACGGUUCUGCAGGCUUUACAAGAAGCAUAGUGCUGGCAUCUGCUCAGUUUCCACGGAGGCCUCAGGAAGCUUACAAGCAUGGCAGAAGGCAAAGGGGGAGCAGGGACGUCACAUGGCCAGAGAAGGAGCAAGAGAGAGAGUAGGAGGAGGGUGGCGGGGUGAGGUGCCACACACUUUUAAACAACCAGAUCUUGCACUAACUCAGUAUCACGAAGACAGCACCAAAGUAUAAGGAUCCGCCCCCAUGAUCCAAACACCUCCCACCAGGCCCCACCUCAAGCACCGUGGAUUACAAUUCAACAUGAGAUUUGGACGUGGCUUUAUUGAGCAAAUAAACCACAGCAACCAUGAAAUUAGAAGUUUGGUAAAACAUGUUGCAGAAGAACCAGGAAACACAUUGCAAUUGAGCCUGCUGGGUGCUGCUGCAAGUUUGGGGGUGAACAGGAGAAUCAGGUUCUUAUAGGGGUGAAGUCUGCAAAGUAGGAUGUUUUCCUAAUUUGAAUGCAAUGACUGAAGUGGAAAAUGGUCAAAACUGGGCAGAGUGGCUCACACCUACAAUCCCCUAGGAGGGAAGGACAAAGGCAUCCAUAUCACCUCGCCACAGUGGUUGUGGUGGAAGCUGUAGCACUGAAGAGAUGCAGCCCCAUGGAAGAUGCUGCCAAGAGAGGGAGACAGAGCUACGUCUGGUGUCUCCCUUCCUCCUUACCUGGUGCCUCCCUCCUCCUGUCCUCCUGUCUCCCUUCAGAUGAAGGAACUGAUGCUGAGACUUGCACUCUACCAUAGGCGGAAGCACCCACCACCCUGUUCCCAGCCCUGGAAGGGCAAGGAAUGAAUCUGAGGCAAAUAGGGCCAGCACUGGCAGUCUGCUCGAUUUUCCCUCAGAGCAUUUAUCUUCCUUGACAUAUUUACAAUUUUUUGUCUAUUUUUGGUUUCUCUAACUUGACUAGAAUGUAAGAUCCACAAGGCUUGGGCUUUGCUCUUUUGUUCACUAUGUCCAUAGCUCCUGUAACAGUGCCUAAAACAUAGUAGGCAAUCAAUAGAUAUUCUUUGGAUAAACAAAUAUGCCUCAACAUUGAGUCUAACUUACAGCAGACAUUGAAUAAAUAUCUAUUGAAUGAAUGAGACUAACAAUUUACUACAAAAGCAGUUCUUAUGUGAAAUAUGACAGGGUUGACAUCUUAACUGAAAUCCAUCUUGAGAGAUUUUUUUUAACCCACCGAGAUUUCUGAGAACACAUUUAUUUGAAGAACCUUAUAUUUUAUGAUGCAUUUUUAUAUGUGAAUUUUUUGAAACCCUACUAUCUUAUUUCCUGAGGGGUUUUAGACUCAGCUAUUCUUCAUUUCAUUUUUAUACAUUUGUGCAGCUGAACACUUCCUACUUUAUUCUUUUUGUUUCUAAGUUCCUAAAAAUAGUUCAGAAAAUCCAAAAUUAUGAACUCGAUUCAUCCAAAAAAAUGAACAAAUCAAAUAACUUUGAAAAUAAAUGCUUUCACUAUUUAUUACUAACAAAAUUGAACAGUAUAAUCCAGAAAAAUUGAGCAAAAAUAAUUUAUAAAUCUCAAGAUUAAAACCAAAUAUGGCUUUAUGAUUGUAUUAGUCCAUUUUCACACUGCUAUAAAGAUACUACCCAAGACUGGGUAAUUUACAAACAAAGAAGGUUUAAUUGACUCACAAUUCUGCAGGGCUGGGGAGGCCUCAGGAAACUUACAAUCAUGGUGGAAUGGAAAGCAGGCACCGUCUUUACAAGGUGUCAGGAGAGAGGGAGAGCAGGGGAAACCACCACUUAUAAAACCAUAAGAUCUCGUGGGAACACACUCACUCUCAUGAGAAUAGCAUGGAGAAAGCCGCCCCCAUGAUCCAAUCACCUCCCAUCAGGUCCCUCCGUUGACAUGUGGGCAUUAUGAUUCUGAUUACAAUUGGAGAUGAGAUUUGGGUGGGGACACAGCCAAACCAUAUUGGUCAAUUAAGCGAUAAAUACUAUAAAAAUUAUAAAUAGUGGUCAAACUGAAACAUUUCUCUGUUUCAGAAACUUUUCACUUUAAGAAAGUCUUAAAUUCAUUGUUGAUUACCUUGUUCACAUUUUCUCGAUCUCUCCUAGAGAUCAAAUUAGGACUGAUUUGUAUCAAUAAAUCUGGAUUUUGAUUUCCUUUAUGACUUUGGAUAGAUUUCUGGAUGGUGAGUGAAUACAGACUUAAACUUUAAGAAAGUGCCUGCUUCCAGCUUCUGGCUGGAGGCUACACUUCCCAGCCUGUCAGAACAGCCACCCUGAAAACUGCAAUCCAUUAUGAGAAAUAAAGCUCUCUUUUUUAAAUUAAAAAGAAAAAGGAAUUAAAAUGUAGGAUUUGGUGACCAAUUUAAGUAUGUUAAAGAUAUGUUUUGGCUACUGAGCUUCCUCUGAGAUUCUUUAUACUCAAACACAAACAAAGCACUGAAUUUCAACCUGAAAAUAUGUCAUGUGUUUCAAAUAACUUGAAGAACAAAAACAACAACAAAAAUCCUGUUAUUUUCUGGGAAAAAUGAUUCAUUUCAGGUAAAACCCAUGACAUAUUUUUAGGUCACCAAAUCCCACGUUUUAAUUCCUUUUUCAUUAGGAGAGUCCACCCAUGAUAAACAAUAGGAAGGUUGUAAUGAGUUUCUGUCUUUGUCCUCAGGCAAGAAGAAAUUCAAAUACAUUCUUUCUGUGUGAAUUCAUUUCUUUUCCACCUCAGCUGUUCAAAUCUCCAAAAUGAAUAACUAUUGCCAGCACUGUCUUGUUCAUGCUUGUUUUUAAAGCUGUUUCUUUCUUUUGAGACGUAAUCGCAGGCCCUUAAGAAAACCAGAAGGGACAAGCCAAGUGUCAAUUAUGUUUGUUGUUCCAGCUAGUCUGUUUCUGUAAGUGUAUGAUAUAGGACAGAAAGAAUUGGCCCAUAUUUUUUUCCAAUUUUGAGAAACUCUGAGCUUAAUUUUUAGUUUUCCCAAUUGUUUUUACUUUAGAAUAAAUUGCUUAGUAUAUCUAAUUAUAAUAAUGAUGGCUCACAUUUACUGCGCAUUAACUACAUCAAGUACUUAUUGUAAGUGACGCAUGUGACCAGUUGCCAAUUGUUCAGGCUACAGCUUGGAUCUGUUAGCAUCCUCAUUUAACAAAUGGAGAAAUUGUAGCACAGAGAAGGAACUUUCCCCAGGUUCCAUGGUGAAUAAAUAGAGGAAGUGCUCAAUGAGCCUAACUAAUCUGGGUUGAAAGCUCAUACUCUUACCCAGCCUCCAAGCUAGCAGAUGGAAAUCAAAAUAUCUUAUUUUAAAGCUCUUUUCUAGGAGAAAAGAUACCUUGAUAAGCUGUUUUUCCAAGGAAUGGGAGGCCAUAAUGACAUGUUUAAAUGAGACAAUAAACAGGUUUACAUAACUAGUUUACAUUUAAAAAGAAAGAUAAAGAAACAGGAACUUGGGUUCCUCCCAGAGGUCAAAGAAGGGAGGGGUCAGACAGAAGAGCAGAAGGUUGGCAUCUGUGGGGAGGUCACUGUGGGGAGACGAUUUUGGAGGUGGGUUUGCCAAAGGAUAUUAAUAAGAUUUUUCCCUCUAAUUGUUUGAUGGGGAGCAUUAGAAACUCCAUAAGAUUUUGGAUUUUGGAAAUCAAGUUUAUUUAAAUCUUAAAGGAUGAGUGAUAUCACCUACUUUUUGAGUUAUAAAUCUUUAAUAUAAUUCUAAUAUUCAACAUAUAUGCUUUGAAAACUGUGUUUUUAGAUUUUCCACUGAAUUUGAAAUAGGAUUAUUUUUAUAGUUGAAUCUUGUCCUCUCCUACAGGUCAAUUUUUAAGAAUAUAUAUCCAGGAAAAAGUAACUGCCCAUAAGCAAAAAUGAGUGCAAUUUCUGGUGCUCUCCUAACUGUAAUAUCACACGUAUUUGUGCUACAGAACAAGAAUAGGGACAAGGAAAGAAAACAAACUUGACCAACAUUUGAGAAUCUACUACAUGUUAAGUAGUAAGUCAUACUACUUUUUAAAAUCCACUUUAUCGAAGUAGAGUAAACAUAUACAAUUCACUAAUUUUAUUUGCACAGCCUAUAUAUAUAUACACUAGUGUCACCACUGCAACAAUCAUGAUAUAGAACAUUUCUAUCACCCCAGAAAGUUUACUCAUGAUCCUUUGUAGUCAAUCCCUCCUCCCACUUCCCACCUUUGGCAAUCAGUGACCUGCUUUCUGUUACUAUAGUUUUGUCUCCUCUAAUUUUUCAUAUAAAUGGAAUCAUAUAUCAUGAAGUCUUUUGUAUCUGGUUUCAUUCACUUUCCAUAUUGCUUUUGGGAUUCAUCCAUAUUGUUUCAUGUGUCAGUCAUUUCUUCCUUUUUGUUGUUGAGUAUGGACAUUCCAGUUUGUCUAUUCAUCAACUGAUAGAUAUUUGGGUUGUUUCUAGAUUUUAGCUAUCAUAAAUAAAACUUUCAUGAACAUUUAUGUGCAAAUACUUAUUUGGGCAGGUUUUCAUUCUUCUUGGGUAAACAUUUAGAGUAGGAUCAUUGGGUCACAGGAGAAGUGUGGGUUUAAUUUUAUAAUAAAUUGCCAAACUGAGUGAGGAAGGAAGAAACCAGUCAGGCAGGCAGUUAGGGUGGAUGCUCCAUUGAUUUCUUUCAAACAAAAGAACGGCAUGCAAGCACUGAUAAGGGAACUUUCACAGGGGGGCUUGCCUAAGAUAUGCCCACAGCUGCAUACAUAAGAAAGUCUACACAGGAGACUUACCCAGACUUAUCUGCAAUGGAAAAUGCUAUCCCCUGACACAUGCACGGUAAGGGAAACAAAGACAAUAUGGAGUAACUCAAGCUAAGGGCCUGCAUGCACACUAGGAGGACUGGGUGGAGCGACCAGAAAUUUGCUCCUUAUGCAAAUGAGACACCCAAC
rnacentral:lncRNA from 1 species